GUCGACGUACUUCAUAGGAUCAUUUCUAUAGGUCACGUCCCACAAUGACUCUUCUAAAGAGCCACUGAAUCCAACUUGGUUGAUGAGAUAGAUACCCUCGGGCCCUCAAAGUGAGAACACAUUUAGCUUGUCCACGAUCCCUUGCGGUCUGGUCAUCUACAAUUUGUUUGCCUUUCACCAGUCACUUUCGACCCAGUCGUGGUGCUGAAAGGAGCGAUGAUCUUGACCCUUCGUCACACGCUUCUUCGGAAGACGUGACCUUGGGUGGGUGCGAGUGGCAGUCUGACAAGU
rnacentral:snoRNA from 1 species